UACGGGGGGAGCAAGCGUUGUUCGGAUUUACUGGGCGUAAAGGGCGCGUAGGCGGCACCGCAAGUCGACUGUGAAAUCUCCGGGCUUAACUCGGAAAGGUCAACUGAUACUGCGGGGCUAGAGUGGCGGAAGGGGGCAACUGGAAUUCUCGGUGUAGCGGUGAAAUGCGUAGAUAUCGAGAGGAACACCUGCGGCGAAGGCGGGUUGCUGGGCCGACACUGACGCUGAGGCGCGAAAGCCAGGGGAGCGAACGGG
rnacentral:rRNA from 1 species